AUGGUAGCUGGUUGUGUAGUGGGGCUAGAUGGUAGAUGGUUGUGUAGUGGGGCUAGAUGGUAGAUGGUUGUGUAGUGUGGCUAGGUGGUAGAUGGUUGUGUAGUGUGGCUAGAUGGUAGAUGGUUGUGUAGUGGGGCUAGAUGGUAGAUGGUUGUGUAGUGGGGCUAGAUGGUAGAUGGUUGUGUAGUGGGGCUAGAUGGUAGAUGGUUGUGUAGUGGGGCUAGAUGGUAGAUGGUUGUGUAGUGGGGCUAGAUGGUAGAUGGUAGAUGGUUGUGUAGUGGGGUUUGAUGGUAGAUGGUUGUGUAGUGGUGCUAGAUGGUAGAUGGUUGUGUAGUGGGGCUAGAUGGUAGAUGGUUGUGUAGUGGGGCUAGAUGGUAGAUGGUAGAUGGUUGUGUAGUGGGGCUAGAUGGUAGAUGGUAGAUGGUUGUGUAGUGGGGUUAGAUGGUAGAUGGUUGUGUAGUGGGGCUAGAUGGUAGAUGGUUGUGUAGUGUGGCUAGAUGGUAGAUGGUUGUGUAGUGGGGCUAGAUGGUAGAUGGUUGUGUAGUGGGGCUAGAUGGUAGCUGGUCGUGUAGUGGGGCUAGAUGGUAGAUGGUUGUGUAGUGGGGCUAGAUGGUAGCUGGUUGUGUAGUGGGGCUAGAUGGUAGCUGGUUGUGUAGUGGGGAUAGAUGGUAGCUGGUUGUGUAGUGUGGCUAGAUGGUAGAUGUUUGUGUAGUGGGGCUAGAUGGGGGCUAGAUGGCAGCUGGUUGUGUAGUGGAGCUAGGUGGUAGAUGGUUGUGUAGUGGGGCUAGAUGGUAGAUGGUUGUGUAGUGGGGCUAGAUGGUAGAUGGUUGUGUAGUGUGGCUAGAUGGUAGCUGGUUGUGUAGUGGGGCUAGAUGGUAGAUGGUUGUGUAGUGGGGCUAGAUGGUAGAUGGUUGUGUAGUGUGGCUAGAUGGUAGCUGGUUGUGUAGUGGGGCUAGAUGGUAGAUGGUUGUGUAGUGGGGCUAGAUGGUAGAUGGUAGAUGGUUGUGUAGUGGGGCUAGAUGGUAGCUGGUUGUGUAGUGAGGCUAGAUGGUAGAUGGUAGAUGGUUGUGUAGUGGGGCUAGAUGGUAGAUGGUUGUGUAGUGGGGUUAGAUGGUAGCUGGUUGUGUAGUGGGGCUAGAUGGGGGGCUAGAUGGUAGCUGGUUGUGUAGUGGGGCUAGAUGGUAGAUGGUUUUGUAGUGGGGCUAGAUGGUAGAUGGUUGUGUAGUGUGGCUAGGUGGUAGAUGGUUGUGUAGUGUGGCUAGAUGGUAGAUGGUAGAUGUUUGUGUAGUGGGGCUAGAUGGUAGAUGGUUGUGUAGUGGGGCUAGAUGGUAGAUUGUUGUGUAGUGGGGCUAGAUGGUAGAUGGUUGUGUAGUGUGGCUAG
ensembl:lncRNA